UUUCCGUAGGUGAACCUGCGGAAGGAUCAUUAUUGAAUAAACCUGAUGUGGCUGUUAGCUGGCUUUUCGAAGCAUGUGCUCGUCCGUCAUCUUUAUCUCUCCACCUGUGCACAUUUUGUAGUCUUGGAUACCUCUCGAGGCAACUCGGAUUUUAGGAUCGCUGUGCUGUACAAGUCGGCUUUCCUUUCAUUUCCAAGACUAUGUUUUUAUAUACACCAAAGUAUGUUUAAAGAAUGUCAUCAAUAGGAACUUGUUUCCUAUAUAAUUAUACAACUUUCAGCAACGGAUCUCUUGGCUCUC
rnacentral:misc_RNA from 1 species